CACACACACACACACGUAAAGAGGCUGUGACUUUAGAGGGGGGGGGGGGGGACCUCAAGUUGAGAAAGCUUUCAAAGCUUUCUCAACUGUUAGACUUUCAAAGUCUAACAGCCGUAGUACAACUGGACUGCAGAGAUGGGAUACAUGUCUGUCGCCCAUCGGCCGAGAGCCAGCUGAUCAGCAGCAGAGCCUGGGAACACCAUCACAAAGGAACCCAAAGCCGACCAAAACACGGGGAGGGAAAUAAAAAAGGGGGCGGGCCCACAACCCAAGAGGGUCCUCAUAGCAGCGCAAGGAGGCUGUUCAGAAGCAACUAGUUCUUCACGGGGGAAGAUUGAACACAGACGCCGGCUCAAACGGUGGAUAUUCAAACCACAGGCCUCUGAUACUGAAAUACCAGGCCAGGAAAUAGAGCCCGGGCAGAGUGCUGGCUGCUGCACCUUCACUGUCCACACUGGUCAGCGCUCUUGACAUACUGACGCUCUGACGGCCAACAUAAGCCACAUUUCAAAGCCCUCGUCGGACACCACAAGGUCCCCCACCCCCCCCCCUGCUUCAGGAUGGAGGUGAG